rnacentral:rRNA from 1 species
UACGGAGGGUGCAAGCGUUAUCCGGAUUCACUGGGUUUAAAGGGUGCGUAGGUGGGCAAGUAAGUCAGUGGUGAAAUCUCCGGGCUUAACCCGGAAACUGCCAUUGAUACUAUUUGUCUUGAAUACUGUGGAGGUCAGCGGAGUAUGUCAUGUAGCGGUGAAAUGCUUAGAUAUGACAUAGAACACCAAUUGCGAAGGCAGCUGGCUACACAAAUAUUGACACUGAGGCACGAAAGCGUGGGGAUCAAACAGG